rnacentral:lncRNA from 1 species
GUUUUAGCAUAUUUUUUGUUUACCGUAGUCUAGGGCUACGGGGUUUGUUGGUCGGACCCACACUACAGUACAGUAGGUGGCGGUAAUGCUGUAAAGUUUGAUGCCAACCGCCGUUAAUCAGCAAUGAAGGAGAUGACCGGAAUGUAUCAACAAAAAAAAAAACAUCCGGAAGAGGCGAUAAGGUUAUGUUACAUCUGAUAACAAAGAAGAUUCAGCAUUAUUCUGUCGUCUCUUCAGAAUACAUUAUAGGUCGUUGUAACCUAAUUAUUGACAAUGGCUAACGAACUGGCUUUUCGUUCCCGGGUUACCUCCAUUAUGGAAGCUUUAACAACAACAGUCGUGCAGGAAAUCUGUCAGCUUAUGGGAGAAAGCUAUGCUGCUCUAAGAGCAGAAGUGUUGCAUCAAAAAAAGAGAGACACGGUGAUGGAGAAGAUGGCAAACGUCUUUGAUAACGUUUCUAAACCGGCUCCCCCAAUAAUUUCGGGAAACUUUCCAGUCGUGGGGCAAGUCUUCAAUGAACAAGAGGCCAGCUGUAUUUGGUUAGAAGAUGGUGCUGUUGAAGGUCUUGUCUCUCCGGUACCAGAGACAGGAAGACAAGAGGUAUCAAAGCCCCUCCGUCAAACUGAAGACACUGUCCCGUGGCCAGUAUGGCUUAUAAAACAGGAGGAGGAAGAUGACGAUGAUCUGGACUUACAAGGUCAGUUGAACCUGUUUGUAUGCUUGGUCCUUAAUGGGGCAUUUAAAGACAUUUAA